GAAGCGAAAAGGCAAAUCUAUCGCGAGGUAGAGGCGCAAAGCCACGGGUCUUGGGAGAAUUGAAAAUAAGAUAGCCGGGUUGUCGAC
rnacentral:ncRNA from 1 species